AUCCCAUGAUGAGGAUACUUAUGAAGUAAUUCUUUAAAUCUCUCCCAUACCUCGUACAAGGACUCAUCAUCCAAUUACUGGAAAGUGUUGAUCUCAUUUCGCAACUU
rfam:Gossypium arboreum cultivar AKA8401 contig_75374_1, whole genome shotgun sequence.